rnacentral:rRNA from 1 species
UGGGGAAUAUUGCACAAUGGGCGCAAGCCUGAUGCAGCCAUGCCGCGUGUAUGAAGAAGGCCUUCGGGUUGUAAAAGUACUUUCAGCGGGGAGGAAGGCGUUGUGGGUUAAUAACCACAGCGAUUGACGUUACCCGCAGAAGAAGCACCGGCUAACUCCGUGCCAGCAGCCGCGGUAAUACGGAGGGUGCAAGCGUUAAUCGGAAUUACUGGGCGUAAAGCGCACGCAGGCGGUCUGUCAAGUCGGAUGUGAAAUCCCCGGGCUCAACCUGGGAACUGCAUUCGAAAACUGGCAGGCUAGAGUCUUGUAGAGGGGGGUAGAAUUCCAGGUGUAGCGGUGAAAUGCGUAGAGAUCUGGAGGAAUACCGGUGGCGAAGGCGGCCCCCCUGGACAAAAGACUGACGCUCAGGUGCGAAAAGCGUGGGGGAGCAAAACA